GCGCCUGUAGCUCAGCUGGAUAGAGCAACAGACUACGAAUCUGUAGGUCGAGAGUUCAAUUCUUUCCAGGCGCU
rnacentral:tRNA from 1 species